AAUGAACGCUGGCGGCAGGCCUAAAACAUGCAAGUCGAACGCUGUAGCAAUACAGAGUGGCGCACGGGUGAGUAACAUGUGGGAAUAUGCCUUUUGGUACGGAACAACGUCUGGAAACGGACGCUAAUACCGGAUGAGCCCUUAGGGGGAAAGAUUUAUCGCCGAAAGAGCGGCCCGCGUUAGAUUAGCUAGUUGGUGAGGUAAAGGCUCACCAAGGCUACGAUCUAUAGCUGGUCUGAGAGGAUGAUCAGCCACACGGGGACUGAGACACGGCCCAGACUCCUACGGGAGGCAGCAGUGGGGAAUCUUGCGCAAUGGGCGAAAGCAUGACGCAGCCAUGCCGCGUGAAUGAUGAAGGUCUUAGGAUUGUAAAAUUCUUUUACCAGGGACGAUAAUGACGGUACCUGGAGAAAAAGCCCCGGCUAACUUCGUGCCAGCAGCCGCGGUAACAC
rnacentral:rRNA from 1 species